AUGUACUACUACGGGCUAGAUUUCCAUGAUCUAGCCCCAAACUCAUUCCUCCACAUCUCGGCAUUCGUCAUCGUGUGUGAGGCUCUCCUCCGCGUCCACCCACACUUCGGCCUAUGGCUCAAGGUCUUCAAUGUGAAGCCGAAGAUGGUCGACAGGCAGCAUGUAGACUACAGCGGAGCUAUGAUUAGCAAGCUGCUGAACACCAUAUGUGAUGCAGAGCAUCCUACGAUCAUCACCAUGUCAAGAGGCCAUUUGGCAAGUGACACGUGCGACCUCUACUUCUCAUACACAAAAGUGAAUCUUCUCCUUUACACGUGUUCACUUGACCCCUUCGAGGAUGGUAUACUACUUGACACUCCACCCGUUUGCAUGCAUAGGUAUCGUCGGAGCUUCACGGACGAUGAGGAGGAGUGCAAGCGCCAAGGAACACCUACACCAUCCACGAGGGAAGCGUGGAAGCGAAGACGAAAGAAGACGGAGCUGCGGAGUCCCCAGCAACCGGACGACCGACGUGCCACCGAACGUCCGUCAAUCUACAGCCACCGGAAGACCGGACUACGCCGAACCUCCGACACCUGGAACUCCAGCCAUUCCAAAAGUCCUGCCGACGAGAUCUACAACGACCGGACGACCGACCAAGACCGGACGUCCGACACCUCCUAG
rnacentral:rRNA from 1 species